GGUGGGACGGGGAGUGGAAAGUCAUCCUUCUCUUUAAGUUGAAAGCUUUCAAUUUAAAGGAUGGUUUUCCCAAAUUUUACUGUCACCUAAGUAUAACUUUGGACAGGUCCAAUUAGAUAACUCCAAUUAGACGCAAUCCAAUUAGAAAAAUAUUGAAUGCCUCCUUUGUGCUAGGCACAAAAGUAAACAAUGAAAGCAGCCCCUGCUCUCUGGGAGCUUACCUUCUAGUGGGAAUAAGGAAAGAUUCAAGGAAUGGGGAUCCUUUGCGGUGGGAGAAAGAACCCUGACAGCUUUGAAAGGGGAGAAUAACGUCACUUGGAAGGCAGCUCACGAGCGGAGCCUGGAAGGAAGGAUGGCGCAUCUUCUCUCAGCCCCACUGGAUGUAACCCUAGCAGAAAAGAAGUCAUAUUGGGCCCCAAGAAAAUAAAGAGGGUAUUUUGGUAAA